rnacentral:rRNA from 1 species
GGUUAAGCGACUAAGCGUACACGGUGGAUGCCCUGGCAGUCAGAGGCGAUGAAGGACGUGCUAAUCUGCGAUAAGCGUCGGUAAGGUGAUAUGAACCGUUAUAACCGGCGAUUUCCGAAUGGGGAAACCCAGUGUGUUUCGACACACUAUCAUUAACUGAAUCCAUAGGUUAAUGAGGCGAACCGGGGGAACUGAAACAUCUAAGUACCCCGAGGAAAAGAAAUCAACCGAGAUUCCCCCAGUAGCGGCGAGCGAACGGGGAGCAGCCCAGAGCCUGAAUCAGUGUGUGUGUUAGUGGAAGCGUCUGGAAAGGCGCGCGAUACAGGGUGACAGCCCCGUACACAAAAAUGCACAUGCUGUGAGCUCGAUGAGUAGGGCGGGACACGUGGUAUCCUGUCUGAAUAUGGGGGGACCAUCCUCCAAGGCUAAAUACUCCUGACUGACCGAUAGUGAACCAGUACCGUGAGGGAAAGGCGAAAAGAACCCCGGCGAGGGGAGUGAAAAAGAACCUGAAACCGUGUACGUACAAGCAGUGGGAGCACGCUUCGGCGUGUGACUGCGUACCUUUUGUAUAAUGGGUCAGCGACUUAUAUUCUGUAGCAAGGUUAACCGAAUAGGGGAGCCGAAGGGAAACCGAGUCUUAACUGGGCGUUAAGUUGCAGGGUAUAGACCCGAAACCCGGUGAUCUAGCCAUGGGCAGGUUGAAGGUUGGGUAACACUAACUGGAGGACCGAACCGACUAAUGUUGAAAAAUUAGCGGAUGACUUGUGGCUGGGGGUGAAAGGCCAAUCAAACCGGGAGAUAGCUGGUUCUCCCCGAAAGCUAUUUAGGUAGCGCCUCGUGAAUUCAUCUCCGGGGGUAGAGCACUGUUUCGGCAAGGGGGUCAUCCCGACUUACCAACCCGAUGCAAACUGCGAAUACCGGAGAAUGUUAUCACGGGAGACACACGGCGGGUGCUAACGUCCGUCGUGAAGAGGGAAACAACCCAGACCGCCAGCUAAGGUCCCAAAGUCAUGGUUAAGUGGGAAACGAUGUGGGAAGGCCCAGACAGCCAGGAUGUUGGCUUAGAAGCAGCCAUCAUUUAAAGAAAGCGUAAUAGCUCACUGGUCGAGUCGGCCUGCGCGGAAGAUGUAACGGGGCUAAACCAUGCACCGAAGCUGCGGCAGCGACGCUGAUGCGUUGUUGGGUAGGGGAGCGUUCUGUAAGCCUGUGAAGGUGUGCUGUGAGGCAUGCUGGAGGUAUCAGAAGUGCGAAUGCUGACAUAAGUAACGAUAAAGCGGGUGAAAAGCCCGCUCGCCGGAAGACCAAGGGUUCCUGUCCAACGUUAAUCGGGGCAGGGUGAGUCGACCCCUAAGGCGAGGCCGAAAGGCGUAGUCGAUGGGAAACAGGUUAAUAUUCCUGUACUUGGUGUUACUGCGAAGGGGGACGGAGAAGGCUAUGUUGGCCGGGCGACGGUUGUCCCGGUUUAAGCGUGUAGGCUGGUUUUCCAGGCAAAUCCGGAAAAUCAAGGCUGAGGCGUGAUGACGAGGCACUACGGUGCUGAAGCAACAAAUGCCCUGCUUCCAGGAAAAGCCUCUAAGCAUCAGGUAACAUCAAAUCGUACCCCAAACCGACACAGGUGGUCAGGUAGAGAAUACCAAGGCGCUUGAGAGAACUCGGGUGAAGGAACUAGGCAAAAUGGUGCCGUAACUUCGGGAGAAGGCACGCUGAUAUGUAGGUGAAGUCCCUCGCGGAUGGAGCUGAAAUCAGUCGAAGAUACCAGCUGGCUGCAACUGUUUAUUAAAAACACAGCACUGUGCAAACACGAAAGUGGACGUAUACGGUGUGACGCCUGCCCGGUGCCGGAAGGUUAAUUGAUGGGGUCAGCGCAAGCGAAGCUCUUGAUCGAAGCCCCGGUAAACGGCGGCCGUAACUAUAACGGUCCUAAGGUAGCGAAAUUCCUUGUCGGGUAAGUUCCGACCUGCACGAAUGGCGUAAUGAUGGCCAGGCUGUCUCCACCCGAGACUCAGUGAAAUUGAACUCGCUGUGAAGAUGCAGUGUACCCGCGGCAAGACGGAAAGACCCCGUGAACCUUUACUAUAGCUUGACACUGAACAUUGAGCCUUGAUGUGUAGGAUAGGUGGGAGGCUUUGAAGUGUGGACGCCAGUCUGCAUGGAGCCGACCUUGAAAUACCACCCUUUAAUGUUUGAUGUUCUAACGUUGACCCGUAAUCCGGGUUGCGGACAGUGUCUGGUGGGUAGUUUGACUGGGGCGGUCUCCUCCUAAAGAGUAACGGAGGAGCACGAAGGUUGGCUAAUCCUGGUCGGACAUCAGGAGGUUAGUGCAAUGGCAUAAGCCAGCUUGACUGCGAGCGUGACGGCGCGAGCAGGUGCGAAAGCAGGUCAUAGUGAUCCGGUGGUUCUGAAUGGAAGGGCCAUCGCUCAACGGAUAAAAGGUACUCCGGGGAUAACAGGCUGAUACCGCCCAAGAGUUCAUAUCGACGGCGGUGUUUGGCACCUCGAUGUCGGCUCAUCACAUCCUGGGGCUGAAGUAGGUCCCAAGGGUAUGGCUGUUCGCCAUUUAAAGUGGUACGCGAGCUGGGUUUAGAACGUCGUGAGACAGUUCGGUCCCUAUCUGCCGUGGGCGCUGGAGAACUGAGGGGGGCUGCUCCUAGUACGAGAGGACCGGAGUGGACGCAUCACUGGUGUUCGGGUUGUCAUGCCAAUGGCACUGCCCGGUAGCUAAAUGCGGAAGAGAUAAGUGCUGAAAGCAUCUAAGCACGAAACUUGCCCCGAGAUGAGUUCUCCCUGACUCCUUGAGAGUCCUGAAGGAACGUUGAAGACGACGACGUUGAUAGGCCGGGUGUGUAAGCGCAGCGAUGCGUUGAGCUAACCGGUACUAAUGAACCGUGAGGCUUAACCUU